GCGUCCGUAGCUCAGUUGGAUAGAGCACGUGCCUUCUAAGCUCGUGGUCGCUGGUUCGAAUCCAGCCGGGCGCGCCA
rnacentral:tRNA from 2 species